GACGAACGCUGGCGGCGUGCUUAACACAUGCAAGUCGAACGGUGAAGGGACUGGUUUUGCUGGUCCUGGAUGAGUGGCGAACGGGUGAGUAACACGUGAGUAACCUGCCCCCUUCUUCUGGAUAACCGCAUGAAAGUGUGGCUAAUACGGGAUAUUCUGGGUCUGUCGCAUGGUGGGCCUGGGAAAGAUUGCGCCUUUUUUGGUGUUUUUGGUGGGGGAUGGGCUCGCGGCCUAUCAGCUUGUUGGGGGGGUGAUGGCCUACCAAGGCGGUGACGGGUAGCCGGCCUGAGAGGGUGGACGGUCACACUGGGACUGAGACACGGCCCAGACUCCUACGGGAGGCAGCAGUGGGGAAUAGUGCACAAUGGGCGCAAGCCUGAUGCAGCGACGCCGCGUGAGGGAUGGAGGCCUUCGGGUUGUGAACCUCUUUCGCCAGUGAAGCAGGCCUGCCUCUUUUUGUGGGUGGGUUGACGGUAGCUGGAUAAGAAGCGCCGGCUAACUACGUG
rnacentral:rRNA from 1 species